UACAGAUUUAAUAUACAAAUUCAGUGGACUCUGUGGAUGCCAUUUGCCAAAAUGGCUGCCACAGUGAAGCUGUAGUUCAUGGGCCCCACGGUGCUUCAUCAUGUCCACUGGGGAUCAAUAUGUACUACACACAUAC